rnacentral:tRNA from 3 species
GGUCUCAUAGUUCAAGGGAUAGAACGAGGGUUUCCUAAACCCUAGAUUCGCGUUCGAGUCGCGGUGAGACUACAA